GGGCUCACUUUGGCAGCACAUAUACUAAAAUGGGAACGAUACGAACAAGAUUAGCAUAGCCCCUGCGCAAGGGGGACAUGCAAAUUCAUGAAGCAUUCUGUAUUUUU